GUAUUCCAGUCAGUGGAGGACAGCACCAGAUUCUGGAUCAAGGGCCGGAAGUUUUCGAUUAGAGGCCUCCUUGGGAAGAAUGUGAAUCGAAAUGCCUUUCUUGAUGGAUCUUUGGUGAUAUUCCGACUAGCACCUCAGGAUUAUCAUGGCCAGCUCCGGCUCAAUACUAUUACGAGCCCUAGGGUGAAAAAUAUUUUUUUUUUAUCCUCUAAAAUUUAUAUGUAGAUAAUGUUUAAAAUGUUUUUAAAAUUUAAUCCGUAAUAUUUUGUAAUGAAAAUAAAACUAUAUACAUAUCAAAUAAUUUUGGCCCUUUUCACUUUUAUUUAUUAUAUUUAUAAUUUUUUAUAUAUAAAAAUAUAGAUUAUAAAAAAAUUUGGCCCCUUAAUUAAUAUUAUACGGAGAGGAUAUGGGCUUUGGGCCCGAAACGGUCACACCGUUUGUCCACUUAAUAACCGGCCCCGAUCAUGGCUUUCAUGUCCCUGUCUCUGGGGUCAUUGAAAAGUUUGGCGAUGUUUCUGGAAGUUUAUAUACGGUACUUGGUUAAAAAAAAUCCUAAAAAUAUAAUAAUCACUUUUUCAUGUUUGUUGAUAGACCAUUCCUUCUCAGGUUAAUCCCAUAGCAAAUACUGUAACGAAUUCACCGAAAAUAAUCGAACCCUGGCAAUUAUAUCAACAUCAGAGUUUGGAAAGGUUCACUUUACACAAAACCCUCUGUCUUUACAUGCGGCUUUAGAAGUAGGAUGACUAGACUCUUCUAUUUCCCAUAAAAGAGUGGCAUUAUAUUUAUAUAUAUGAUUAUGGGUUGUGAGGUAAAAUUUUCUAGACUCUUCUAUCUCCCAUAAAAAACGUCAGUAACUUACGGCCAAGAUCUUACUGAUGUUCUCUCUGAAUUUUCUAUGAAUUCAUGGUACUAACAUUUCUCUUAAAAGUUUUGCACCAAAAAAAAACAUUUCUCAUAAAAGCAUUGAUUUUAAAGAUUUUUGUCGCAAAAAAAGCUUUUUCUCUCCCAGGCACACUAACCAAGAACGGUCCAUAGCAAGUUGACCUUUGUAGCAAUCUCGGUUUAUCUAGCGGUUUCUUUCCGGGUUUAGCAUCUUUUUCCUGCAAACCAGAAAUCUUUUUCAAAUUCUUUCUGCUUUUGGAAAUAUCCAGUGGAUAUUACAACUCUUCCUUUGAGCGUGCAGACCUUUCCGCCGGGUUCAC